AUGCCCUAUUUGCAAGAUGGAACACCCAUUGAUAUGGUCUUCAAUCCCUUAGGAGUACCCUCCCGAAUGAAUGUGGGACAAAUAUUUGAAAGCUCGCUCGGAUUAGCGGGGGAUCUGCUAAAGAAACAUUAUAGAAUAGCACCCUUUGAUGAGAGAUAUGAGCAAGAGGCUUCAAGAAAACUUGUGUUUUCAGAAUUAUAUGAAGCCGGUAAAGAAACAAAAAAUCCAUGGGUAUUUGAACCCGAGUACCCGGGAAAAAGUAGAAUAUUUGAUGGAAGAACAGGCGACCCCUUUGAGCAACCUGUUCUAAUAGGGAAGUCCUAUAUCUUAAAAUUAAUUCAUCAAGUUGAUGAGAAAAUUCAUGGGCGUUCUACUGGGCCCUACUCACUUGUUACACAACAACCGGUUAGAGGAAGAGCCAAGCAAGGGGGACAACGAGUAGGAGAAAUGGAAGUUUGGGCUUUAGAAGAAUUUGGUGUUGCUCAUAUUUUACAAGAGAUACUUACUUAUAAAUCUGACCAUCUUAUAGCUCGCCAAGAAAUACUUAAUGCUACGAUCUGGGGAAAAAGAAUACCUAAUCAUGAGGAUCCUCCAGAAUCUUUUCGAGUGCUCGUUCGAGAACUACGAUCUUUGGCUCUAGAACUGAAUCAUUUCCUUGUAUCUGAAAAGAACUUCCAGGUUAAUAGGGAGGAAGUUUGA
rnacentral:rRNA from 1 species